rnacentral:lncRNA from 1 species
UUUCUCCACCAUGGGGGCUUUUCUCACUCUUCCAACUGGCUCCGGCUCGACCCUGGCUCAUCAGAUGGCAGAGCAUUCAAGAGGCAGCUCGGUCGAGGGCUCACCGUCUUAUGACUGUCCCAGGAAGAGCUGACUGCUCUAAUGAUCAGAGCUGUUCAUUCCUGGAAUUUGCUGAACCAAACAUUUACACUGAGGAGUGAUGAAAAGAUAAUCACCUGCUUCAGGUCAAAUGGGUCUUCUAAUGCCAACGGCCUCCACGUUAAAUGACAACCAGUGUUUUUGACUCGUAUUCAACCUAGACCACUGGAGGAGCCGAGCAUGUGCGGGAUGAGACUCCAAGGAAGCCAACCCAAAACAGCAUCUGCGAGGCCAAGGAGCUGAGCAAAGAUUUCAUAAACAGGACGCAAAACACUAACGACACAAGAAAAAGAUUGAUAAAUUGGAUUGCAUUAAAAGUCAGAACUUAUGUUCUGAUUUACAAGUUCAUAAAAAUAUUUUCCUGUUAAAGCUUUAUUGCUUCGCCUUUCGCAUUUGAAUGUAUGAUUCCCUUUUUGUGUGUUUCUCUUGCUCUAAAAAUGAUUCCUUCCAGGAAAUAGAGCUAAACAAUGUGGUUUUCAUAAGCAGGGUGCCUUUAUCCGCUGCUCAAGCUCAGGGGGUCUGAAGAGGCUUGCCUUCAACUUCCCUCUUGCCUCUUCCUCCGAUUUUAAAUUCUGGGAAGGGGGUUCUCCACCACCAUUCCAGUUGGUAUCUAUGGCCACAUUGGGUGGGGGUCGAGGGCUGAUCCAAGCAGAAUAUGUCAAGCAAAGCAUCUCAUGACCCAAAUGGCAUCAUCCCCUUUGGAUGGUCAGUAGUCAGGAAGUAGAGGCUGAAAACUGACAAAGU